UACGUAGGGGGCAAACGUUGUCCGGAAUUAUUGGGCGUAAAGAGCGUGUAGGCGGCCAGGUAGGUCCGUUGUGAAAACUCGAGGCUCAACCUCGAGACGCCGAUGGAAACCAUCUGGCUAGAGUCCGGAAGAGGAGAGUGGAAUUCCCGGUGUAGCGGUGAAAUGCGCAGAUAUCAGGAAGAACACCUAUGGCGAAGGCAGCUCUCUGGGACGGUACUGACGCUGAGACGCGAAAGCGUGGGGAGCGAACAGG
rnacentral:rRNA from 1 species